rnacentral:rRNA from 1 species
GACGAACGCUGGCGGCGUGCUUAACACAUGCAAGUCGAACGGAAAGGCCCUGCUUGCAGGGUACUCGAGUGGCGAACGGGUGAGUAACACGUGGGUGAUCUGCCCUGCACUUCGGGAUAAGCCUGGGAAACUGGGUCUAAUACCGGAUAGGAGCCAUUUUUAGUGUGAUGGUUGGAAAGUUUUUUCGGUGUAGGAUGAGCUCGCGGCCUAUCAGCUUGUUGGUGGGGUAAUGGCCUACCAAGGCGGCGACGGGUAGCCGGCCUGAGAGGGUGGACGGCCACAUUGGGACUGGGAUACGGCCCAGACUCCUACGGGGGGCAGCAGGGGAGAAUAUUGCACAAUGGGCGCAAGCCUGAUGCAGCGACGCCGCGUGGGGGAUGACGGCCUUCGGGUUGUAAACUCCUUUCGCUAGGGACGAAGCUUUUUGUGACGGUACCUAGAUAAGAAGCACCGGCUAACUACGUG